GUGGGGAAUAUUGGACAAUGGGGGGAACCCUGAUCCAGCCAUGCCGCGUGUGUGAAGAAGGCCUUUUGGUUGUAAAGCACUUUAAGCGAGGAGGAGGCUACCGAGAUUAAUACUCUUGGAUAGUGGACGUUACUCGCAGAAUAAGCACCGGCUAACUCUGUGCCAGCAGCCGCGGUAAUACAGAGGGUGCGAGCGUUAAUCGGAUUUACUGGGCGUAAAGCGCGCGUAGGUGGCUAAUUAAGUCAAAUGUGAAAUCCCCGAGCUUAACUUGGGAAUUGCAUUCGAUACUGGUUGGCUAGAGUAUGGGAGAGGAUGGUAGAAUUCCAGGUGUAGCGGUGAAAUGCGUAGAGAUCUGGAGGAAUACCGAUGGCGAAGGCAGCCAUCUGGCCUAAUACUGACACUGAGGUGCGAAAGCAUGGGGAGCAAACAGGAUUAGAUACCCGAGUAGUCC
rnacentral:rRNA from 1 species